rnacentral:lncRNA from 1 species
AUUUUUUAAAAUGUUAGUUACCAUAAUUUACUAAAUGAAAUUAGAAAAUAUCCAUCAUCAAUACAUUUGGAUUUAUUAUAUUGGUUAUACAAAUACGAGAUAGCUUUAAUCGGUUUCAAACGCUACCUACGUGUUAAUUGCAGUCAUUAACAUAGAAGUAUGCAUUUAAAAAAUUUAAAUAAUUAAGUUAAAUUUUGAUUCUGAAUUAAUAUCUAAAUGCAUGGGUGGAUUGUAUUUGUAUCUUCCUACCUUUGUGGGUAAAUCAGCUUUCUCUUGAUAUGGUAAGCGAUGGCUGAACAUUUAAAAAAAGAAAAAAUACACAUAUAAACUUAUAACAAUAAGUUACAAAAAAUAAUCUAUUAUAUUUUAAAAAAGAGAGUAAAUUGAGUAGUGUAAUAAAAUAAGUUAUUUCAAAAAUUAAUUUACCUAAUGGUUAAUGAAAAUCUUGUUAAAUUUUUUAAUGUUAUGUAUUUGAAUUUGAGAGACUUUGACAGAAAGACUAACAGUUUAAUUAAAAAUAAAUAACAAUAUGAUUCCAACAUAAUGAUGACAAUUUAAAAAAAAAAUUAAGAAACCUUGAAUUUUAAUUUAAAAAGAAAAUAUAUUUAUUAUAAGAUAAUAGAUACCUAUAGGUAAUUAGUAGAUACUUAAAAAUAAAAAUAAUAAAAUUAGGCAAAGCAAAACUUACCAAUAACACCAAAAUAAUUUUCAUGGAGACAAUAAUUAAAUAUUCUAUAAUUUCUACUUAACAUCUAGUGUUAAACUAGAACUAUAAUACAAAAUUUAAGCAUCAUUUUGUAUUACUUUUUUCACAAAUGUAAAAGGUUAUUUUUAGAUACUUAAGCUUUUAGCUUUUAUAACACAUCAUUUCUUAAAAGAAUCAAUAGCUGUAUCCUGCAUAUAACAUAAUAUGUCAGGAGUGGGCACCGAGAAGAGAAUCCUGACUUCAAAAAACUUCCAAAAAAAAUUAACACGCAACAAAUAAGAUAAAUAAGAUAUUAAUUAAUAAUUAAAAAUAUAUCAAAAACACUACAAAUUUUUUCUAUAAAUUAUAAUUUAAUAAAAUAUUAUAUUUCUUCAAUAUAUAAAUACCAAUUGUAAAAAUAUUUUGUAUCUUACGAUAAGAUUCAAGCCACACAAGUCUAUGAGAAGAAUCACAGUUUGGUCACCCCUGUAAUAUAGUAUAAUAUAUAAUGCAAUAAUUAAUUCAAUUAGCCAAAGUCUAUUGGCCUAUUUAGGCAAAGAGGACAAAAUAAUAAAAAAUUAUGCUCAUUUUGAACAGUCAAAAUUCAUACUUUAUAGAUAUUGGUCAAUAUCGUGAUAGAUUGUAUUUUGGUAAUACUAUGGGGAUUUAGGGAUGAAUUGAUAGCUGUUUAAUAUAACUAUUUACUAACCUCAUCUGUUACUGGAGUUUAGAAUUACUACUGACCAUGAUAAAUCUGAAAAAAAAAUUAAAAUAACAAUUGUAUGCUAACCUUAAAAAUAUGGAGAUGGAUUGGAAGAAUUAAAUAAUAAAUGCGAAAAAUAAUUAAAUUCAGAACUGUUAAAAAAAUUGUUUACAUUGUAUAAUUUUACAUUAUUUUAAUGUUAUAGUAUUAUAAACUUAGAGAUGAGUAUUGUGAUGUAUAACACUUCAAUGUUAAGAUUGAUAAGAAGC